ensembl:lncRNA
UGAAAAUGCUUAAGGCAAAAUUUUGAAAGUAUAAUACAGAGAAAAAAAAAAAAAAGACAAUAGAAUGCUUCCUGGAAUGGCCUUUACUGUUUGAGAUUUUUUUUGGCAGUCAGUGCCAGUGAAAGCUCCUUGGACCAGCUGCAAGUUUUAGUGAGGAGCAAAAGGAAUCUUUGAAGGAAAAGCUAAUGUUGGUUGUAUGCUGUGGUUUAGCUCUGGCUGAAGAGGAGAGUUUUUCCCUUCAUGUGUGGAUUUUUGGGAGAGUCCUCUAUUCAAAGUAUUGAAGAAGUUUCUUCAAGGAAAGACAACUUCUGAGGACGCUGAUGAUUUCUUAAGUAUGGUCAUCUCUGUCAGGAAUUUGUUAACGUAUUGAUAAAUAACCAGGGAGACUCCAUAAAGCAGGAAAAGUUCUUACAUGUAGCUGGUUUUAACCCAUCACAGGAAACAAGAAUGGCUAAGGAGGUAAGGAAAGAAGCAGAAGUAAUCACGAAGUUUGUUAGAUGUAUUAAAACUUGAAGAAUUGCAGCUAUUCUUUGAAAUGCUGGUAAGAAGUUGUGUAUAGCACUGUGUGUUCCUCUGGUCAGCUUUGAAGCCAGCUUUCAAAUUGGCCUGAAUGC